rnacentral:rRNA from 1 species
CCGUUAUAACCGGCGAUUUCCGAAUGGGGAAACCCAGUGUGUUUCGACACACUAUCAUUAACUGAAUCCAUAGGUUAAUGAGGCGAACCGGGGGAACUGAAACAUCUAAGUACCCCGAGGAAAAGAAAUCAACCGAGAUUCCCCCAGUAGCGGCGAGCGAACGGGGAGCAGCCCAGAGCCUGAAUCAGUAUGUGUGUUAGUGGAAGCGUCUGGAAAGGCGCGCGAUACAGGGUGACAGCCCCGUACACAAAAAUGCACAUGCUGUGAGCUCGAUGAGUAGGGCGGGACACGUGGUAUCCUGUCUGAAUAUGGGGGGACCAUCCUCCAAGGCUAAAUACUCCUGACUGACCGAUAGUGAACCAGUACCGUGAGGGAAAGGCGAAAAGAACCCCGGCGAGGGGAGUGAAAAAGAACCUGAAACCGUGUACGUACAAGCAGUGGGAGCACGCUUAGGCGUGUGACUGCGUACCUUUUGUAUAAUGGGUCAGCGACUUAUAUUCUGUAGCAAGGUUAACCGAAUAGGGGAGCCGAAGGGAAACCGAGUCUUAACUGGGCGUUAAGUUGCAGGGUAUAGACCCGAAACCCGGUGAUCUAGCCAUGGGCAGGUUGAAGGUUGGGUAACACUAACUGGAGGACCGAACCGACUAAUGUUGAAAAAUUAGCGGAUGACUUGUGGCUGGGGGUGAAAGGCCAAUCAAACCGGGAGAUAGCUGGUUCUCCCCGAAAGCUAUUUAGGUAGCGCCUCGUGAAUUCAUCUCCGGGGGUAGAGCACUGUUUCGGCAAGGGGGUCAUCCCGACUUACCAACCCGAUGCAAACUGCGAAUACCGGAGA